rnacentral:tRNA from 1 species
AUCUACGUGCUGAAAUGGGUAGACAGAACAAACUUAAGAUUUGUAGUUGAGAAACGUAAGAGUUCGAGUCUCUUCGUAGAUA